UAGCGCGUUAGUAGUAUGCAUCAGACCCGAAGCCAGAUGAGCUUGCCUUGAGCAGGUUGAAGUGAUUCGAAAGAUUAUGGAGGACCGAACGCUAGAGUUGUGCAAAUUCUCUGCGAUGACUUGAGUAAGGAGUGAUAAGCUAAUCGAAUCUGGUAAUAGCUGGUUCUCUCCGAAAUAGCUUUUGGGCUAGCGUUGAAUGGACCCCACUGGGGUAGAGCACUGGAAGGUCUCGACAGGUCGCAAGAUCACGAGACCUAUCAAACUCCGAAUACAGUGGAUUAUUAUUCAGCAGUUAGACGUGGGGGCUAAGCUCCAUGCGUCAAAAAGGAAACAGCCUAGAUCUCCAUUUUAAGGUCCCUAAAUUCAUGUUAAGUACACUUAAGGUGGUUGAAUUUCUCAAACAAUGAGGAUGUUGGCUUAGAAGCAGCCAUCAUUUUAAAGAAAGCGUAACAGCUCACUCAUCGAGAGAUUCUGCGCCGCAGAUAAUCGGG
rnacentral:rRNA from 1 species